rnacentral:rRNA from 1 species
GAUGAACGCUAGCGGGAGGCUUAACACAUGCAAGUCGAGGGGCAUCACGAGGUAGCAAUACUUUGGUGGCGACCGGCGCACGGGUGAGUAACACGUAUGCAACCUUCCCUGUACAGGGGGAUAACCCGGAGAAAUUCGGACUAAUACCCCAUGAUGAUAUUUAUGGGCAUCCAUUGAUAUUUAAAGCUCUGGCGGUACAGGAUGGGCAUGCGCGACAUUAGCUAGUUGGUAAGGUAACGGCUUACCAAGGCCACGAUGUUUAGGGGACCUGAGAGGGUUGUCCCCCACACUGGUACUGAGACACGGACCAGACUCCUACGGGAGGCAGCAGUGAGGAAUAUUGGUCAAUGGGCGGAAGCCUGAACCAGCCAUGCCGCGUGCAGGAUGACGGCCCUACGGGUUGUAAACUGCUUUUCCCCGGGGCGAACUAACCCCCUCGCGAGGGGGAGUGGCCGGUACCGGGGAAGUAAGGAGUCGGCUAACGUCCGUGCCAGCACGCCGCGGUAAGCGACGAGACGUA